GUAGCCGGUUCUGCCGUCCUGGGGCGGGGGACGUUUUUUGGACAGUGGGGUAAACUGAGGCCCGAUAGGGGCGCUAGGCACUGCCCGGAGUCCGGCGCGCACGGAUUGAGGCGACCUGAUUCCGCCGCAUCCUGGCCCGCGCGGCGAGGGUGGUCUCUGGGCUCGGGACCCUGACCUCUGGCCCUGGGGGCCGUGCACCGGCAGCGCAGGAUUCAGCCUUUUUCCAACUGGCCCUGAGACCACUUUUGCGACUGACCCCCGGAGCCUCUACCACCUGGGCUCAA
rnacentral:lncRNA from 1 species